UUUUAGCGAAACAAAGUAAACAUUCACGCAUUUUAAUUAAGUAAAAAUGAUUACAGUUUUGCAGGAAGGACUUUCCAAAAACUUUGCCAGCGUACAUGUUUCAAUUGUAGAGUGUCCUGACCUAACAUCAGCGCCAUUCAACCUGUCAGCACCAGGUCUGUGUGGCAAUGCUCGACUUGUAGACAUCGGCGGUCCACCCUAUCUCUUCCCAUAUGCCCAACGAGACUAGAUACUGGUGAUUUAGUUUUGCUGUUAGCUGUGCAAGUUUGUCCCAGACUCCAACAGGCAGAGACGUUGGAAGUCAUGUUUUCACACCUGAAGGCUUAAAGGGGCCUUUCACAGAUUUUGGUUGGAGACUACAUGAGACUUUGACAGAUGGCGGGAAACCCUCAUCCACUGGUACAAAGCCGGUAGAGGAAUGUUUGCGACUAAACCGAGGGCCAUUGGAUAAGGGUUGUCGAUGGCAAAACAGUCUCUCAGAGUGUUUGCCACCUGACUGCUUGUGUCUGUAGUCAUAGAUCGAAUCUUCAAGCUAAACAACACUAUCCAGAUCCGCAUCCUUUGGUAGCAGCUUGUGGUGGUUCACAUGGACGAGCAGUUGAGUUCAUCAAGGAGCACGGCUGUAGUCAUCGAAGAAUGCUAGACUCUUCUUUGGUUGUCCUUGGCAGUAGAAAGCCAGGUUGUCCACUGGGAUACAACACUGAACAAUUGAUGCAGAGGAACAACCCCAUACAGUUAGAUGGCAUCCUGAGAACUCCAUAGUGUGUGUGCAGAGAUCACUGCAGUGUAUCAGGCAAGCUUUUAAUGAUGACAAAAAUCAGCACAUACAAAAGGAUUGAUCCUGCUGGGGAACUUCUAGAGGGGUAUUUAGCAUCAGAGACCUCAUCCUGUACCUUGACUGGGCACUUCAGCCCUUCCAAAGUAGCCCUAUGUUAGUGGAAGCAGUGCCCAGAGAUGACUUAAUUAUGAAGUUUUUUUCAAAUGGAAGGCAGCUUGCAUGUAAAAUAAUAUUGCUUAAGAAUUGUGUAAUGGCAUCUGACCUUCACCUACACCAUGGGGUAGUGUCCCUUGCACUACACCUGAUUGAGAUAAAUACAUGUUAGCCUGGACAUGGGUCAAAAUAUGAUGUAUGAGGGACAGUCAACGCCAGAAGUGAAAAUUUUUCCUGGUUGAAAUUGCUGUUUUUAGUUCAGACAAAGUAAAGUAACAUUCAAUGUGCUGUUGUUAUUCAAAGGCUUAUUGAAAUUGUCCUUAUGCUGGCAUUUAAGCUGUAUGAAAUAUUUAAGUUUUUGACGACAAGUAAUAAGUAGGAAUCACUUUUGACUGUUUCAUAAUGUUUUAGUUAAAAUACUGAAUCUUGUAUCUAGGGUUAAUUGCAGUUUUGGUUUUAUAUUUAAGAAGUAGUGAAGGAUAAUAAUAUUUUCCUUUCAUUCUUUGAUUUUUUUUUGGCAAAAGACCUUACAGAUGUCGUUGUUUAUAAACUUAAGUGCUUUUCAUAAUGAUUGCUAUGUUGUUUUUUUAAUUGCCCUCUUUGUUAUGUUUUGAAACCUGUACAAUUAAAGAUUUUCUUGGGAGGGAUUUUUCUAAAAUUGUUUGAAUGCUUUUUUCUUAUUGUGUUCCGCCUUGUCUUUCCGCGAUUGAAAACUUUAAUGUUAAGUAUUUCAGUUGUUAGAGGAGACCGGUAUAUUAUGUCAAACAAGAAAAAUAGUUUUUAAGUUAGCUGUGUACAAUAUUCUUAUAUGCCAUCUGAGAGAAAAUCAACCUACGAUACUUUUUCAACUCUGUAAACGUGAACCAGUCAGCUUUUGUUGGAAUCAAAUUUUUUAUGAAAUUUGUUUUUAUUGCUGGAAGAGUUUUCUCCCUUGUUAUUAUUAAGGAUUUUAAAGACAUGACUAUUUUGGUGAAGCGGUCUGAUGUAAACUUAUGAUAAACAAUGUACCAUUCUAGAGUUAUAUCAAUUGUUUAUAGUACAUAUGUUGAUGUCAAUACUUUGGAUCCCAUCCUAGUUUUGGGUCAUCAUUUAAAAUAAUAAGUUCAUGUACACAAAUCAUUCCACUUCAUGUUUAUGGCUGCAGUCUGUUCUUGUUUACCAUUCCCUAUGCAACCGUAUCAUCCAACCACACAUUGAUUUACUGUCAACUCGGAAUAUUUCAAAUCAUCUUACCAGGUGAAGAAGAUAUGAAUGUUUCAUAUAACACCAAGACUGUGUGUUUCAACGCAGUUGUUGACCAAUCUCCAGUCACCUUUAUCAACUA